CAUAUGAUCAUCAGCAGGCAGCUGACGUUCUGUUUCCUUGUUGUCAUGGUUACAGUGACGCUGUGCUGCUAUCUGGCAAUGAUACAGAAAUCUUUAACUAAUCCGUGGAUCCAGACUUUAAGCCGCAUCACUGCCAAAAUCUAAUCACUUGGUCCUUGUGUCAUUUCUGACCUUCCCUGAAAAUUUCAUCCAAAUCUGUUGGUCUGUUUUUCAGUAAUGCUACUUCUGGGGGUAUCCUGUUCUGUCUGGCAUCCAGAGGACUAUAGGUUGUAGUAUGCUCAACUGGACUGGGAUCCCUGGAGUUUGGAGGCCUGAUCGAUCUAUGAAGUCCCCACUUCAUAGACCAUCAUGGAUCUGCAGCUUGAGCACACCAGCUGCAAUAGUUAUCCUGGCAGCCAAGUGAAUCUGGAGCACAAAUGAAUUAAGGGAGAAUUAAGGAGCCUGUGCAAAGUGAAGCCUUUCCAAAUCUCAGUGCAGAUGAAAGGUGGACCUGCUCAUACAUGUGUGCACACACUCAAACACGUGCUCGCAUGCGUCCACAACACUCAUCCCCACUAACACACAGACUCCCUGUGUGUACUAUGUGGAGGAUACGCGUCCGUAGAUUUGUGGAUGUCGGCGAGUGUUUGUUGGACGUGUUUGUCCUCACCUUGCUUCUGGGCCUCGUGCCAAGCACAACUUCCUGCAGUCCACGGCCAAGGCAACACAAUGGCGCUUAACGUAGCCCACCACCCUCCCAGCAUAUUAUAUCAGCUGGGGGAAAAGUUGUUCAAAGACAGGACAAAGAAGUGCAUAUAGCGUCCUACAAAAACAUAUACAGGUGCUGUAUAUACACACACAUAUACAUAUAUGUGCUCCUACUGAAUAUGUGAAUGGAGAACAAUAAAUGCAAAUGAUGUGCUCUAUAAGAGGAGAGUGGAAGAUGUAGGCUUUAUUUUCCCUCCAUGUAUGACGUGGAGGACACAGCAGAGAAGUGUGACAUUGAAAUGGUUCAGUGGAAUUUGAAAAAGUGACUUUUUUUCCGCUCACCUCAGUUUCAUUGCCAGCUGAGGCGACGGAUGUGAGUUUCUCACCACGAACAAAAGUUCACAUUUUACAAUGACACACCAACUAUACUGUGAAUUCUUGUAAAGUCAAGAUGUUUAAAUUCCCCUGCUGAAGUAGUUUGUGUUGCUCUGAAAGGAGACUAACAUUAACAGUGAAUAAGUAUCAGGAAAAUGUACUUAAAGCUGCGAUAUUCUGUAUUUUUAUAUCAACAAUGGAUCAAAUAACAAUGCAGGAUGUGGAAGGUCUUGCUUUUAGUGACAAAACCACAGAGAAUGAUCAAUAGACUGCAGUUUCUCUAAGUUGUAUGCAGCGUUUUAGUGUAUUUCUACUUGUAUGUUGCUUAUUUGUCCUACAGCUUUGACUGUCAUCAGUGCUGUUUCCAGAUGUAGUACAAAGGCAUCUUAGUUUUAAAUAUUUAAUGGAAUAUUUAGAAACCAGAUGUUUUAUUUAGGAGUUGGUUGAGACCAAAACAAAGCUAAAAGGGAAGUGAGUUCAUCAGAUGGAUCGAAGGCCCUGAUUUUGAAAACUGCAGAAUAAUAAUCUCCAAAAACACAACCAUGAAGAUAACAUUAAUUUAAUCAUAAAUCCAGUGUAGACAUUGUUAAUGUGGUAAAUGACUAUUGUAGCUGGAAAUGUUUCAUGGAAUAUCUCCAUAGGGGUACAGAGGAACAUUUCCAGCAACCAUCACUCCUGUGUUCUAAUGCUACAUUGUGUUAGCUAAUGCUGUUGAAAGGCUCAUUGAUGGUUAGAAAACCCUUGUGCAGUUAUGUUAGCACAUGGAUAAAAGUGGGAGUUUGCAUGGAAAGCAAGAAAAUGUCUGUUCAACUUUUGAACGGUAGUGUACAUAACAUUUAUAGAGAUGGAACCAAACAGGUAACAAGAGAAUGUAUGAGAUUCAGUCAAGUUUAGUCUUUUAUUCAAAAAUGCUAGUCUCAUUUCCAGAGUGUAAUUAACCAGUGCGGUCUCGAUUACAGAAACACAGUGAUUUUCUUGAAAGCAUUUGGUGUGGCCUAGUAUAAAGACAGGAAGCAGGGGUUAAAAAAGUCUGCCUACCAGCAUCUCUAAGGUCAGUGUUGUACUUUGUACAUCUGUGACGGCUUCUUUCGCAGAUGUCCAUGUACAGAUCAAAAUUUGUGUCCACAUGGUGACUGCAUUACAAGGACAAUAGUAUGCAGGUGCAGAAUGGAGGAUGGAAUGAAGUCCUUCAAACAAAUUUCAAGUGGACUCCUAAAAGUAACCUAAAGGUAAAAAUGACAGGUUGUAUUUUUUUUUACAUGGAAAAUAAGCAAACAGUCUCCUCACACCUUCAUCUCUGAUUCCAUUUAAAUCAUCUCCCCCAAAGAUAAAGCUGACAACUUGUUCACCUUUCUAUUCUUUGAAAAACCCCAUCCACUCUCCCCUUACAGAGCUCCGUUUUCAUAUUGCACACAUCCCUUGCUGUUUAAAUGGUACAACAUCAGAAUACAAGUGACGCCCAGUUGUCAAGAGACGCAGCCUACACUGCCACCUCUCUCACAUCUCCACCCUGCUCAGCGGGAAUCAAAGGCAGUGAGAACAGGCAUGGGGAUGAGGGAGAAAAACGUUUCCAUCGUGGCUUUUAAAGCUCCACUAUUUUGGAAUUUGAAAAGCUAAACGUGGGAAUUACAUUCAUCUUGCUUCUCCUUCACACCCUGCUGUAGUUUCUGUUCCUUCCAUAAAACUGGUUAUAAGUUUGUUUUGAUUUAAUAUAAUCUGCUCUGAUCGCGUGUUAGUCCUCCAGUCAUUAUCUUCUCAUCUCCUAAUCAUACAGUAGUCCCCGGAAGGUAUGGAAAAGCUGUUGCAUCGAUUUCACACGAAUGCAGAUUGAUCCGGCUGAAUUUGCAUGUGAAUCCAUUCCACUGGAGCCGAGAGAUCAUAAUCGAUCAGAUGGGAUAAAGCCUGUAUCUGGCCUGCUUGGCUUUCAAAGGUUAAGGUGAAAAUUAAUUUGCUUGUUUGUUAGUUACAUUUCAAUCCUGUAAUUAAGUCUUGCAAAUGAUUAAAAUGUAAAACAAUGGAGCAAUGAAUGUGACUUUGAUUGCCUGUUUUUUUUAUUCGAUAACGUGAUCUGUUGGCCCGAUGACCAUGCUUGCAGAAUCCUAAUGAAGGCGAAGGAGCUGCUGAAGGCUUGUAGAAAUAAGAAAUCUUUCCUUGACAUAAGUUUAUUUCACUUUAGCCUUAUAUAAGAGAUCUUGAUGUUUAGAUGGUGGAGCUGAACUUUGGUGGUAAAAAAAAAGACAUCUUUAAAUGCUCAUGAAAGAUCCUUUUCAUCCACAAAAUUGGCAAACUAAUUGACUGUGUGAAAUUUUAAAUGUUCUAUCUUAAGGGUCCGUGCACGGAUCUGGUAAUUGGAUUUUCCGUUCUGAAACGGGUAUUGAAAAACAAAAAACGAGUGGUUAUUUGAUUUUCGUUUUAAAAUACAAAAAUUCAAAUUGAAAUACAAGGCGUUUUUCCUUUUCGUGAUCAAAAAGGGAUAUACGAUUUUUUUAAAUGCUUUGAUUUUCGUUUUAUAUUUAGAAUAACAAGAAAGUAAAAUCAGUAAGAGACAGAAACGAAAAAAGGUCUGUUUUUUCAUUUUCUGAGACCGGAAGUGGUCAUCAGCAAGGGUGGAGCCAAACGACAACAAGAUUCUCAGAGGGCGGAGCCAGAGAGCAGUGACUGGUCAGACUGACUGAGAGCCAGAGAGCAUCUCUGACUGCUGUUGACCUUGUUUUUGGAGUAAAACACGGUGGAAGCUGAAUUAGUGAGGAUGACUCCUGCUCCUGUCAUCUCUAAGCUCCUCCCACAUCUUUACCUGCACAUGAGGAAAAUCACUCCUGUAGAAUGCAGAUGUUCAGAGGGAGAUGAUGCCACAUCUGGUCCAGCUGAUGGAAGGUCUUGAAGUUCUCUGACUGGCCUGGACUGAAGAUGGUCGUCUCACUGGAUUUAAGGUUCAGAUGCUCAGUAACAAACUCCACCAAUGAGCCAACAGGGAAGCUUUAGGUUUAUUAAAUGUUGCUAUGAAGGUAAA